rnacentral:rRNA from 1 species
GACGAACGCUGGCGGCGUGCUUAACACAUGCAAGUCGAACGGUGAAGCGAGUGCUUGCACUCGUGGAUCAGUGGCGAACGGGUGAGUAACACGUGAGUAACCUGCCCAUCACUCUGGGAUAAGCACUGGAAACGGUGUCUAAUACUGGAUACGACCAACCCUUGCAUGGGGUGUUGGUGGAAAGAUUUAUCGGUGAUGGAUGGACUCGCGGCCUAUCAGCUUGUUGGCGGGGUAAUGGCCACCAAGGCGACGACGGGUAGCCGGCCUGAGAGGGUGACCGGCCACACUGGGACUGAGACACGGCCCAGACUCCUACGGGAGGCAGCAGUGGGGAAUAUUGCACAAUGGGCGAAAGCCUGAUGCAGCGACGCCGCGUGAGGGAUGACGGCCUUCGGGUUGUAAACCUCUUUCAGCAGGGAAGAAGCGAAAGUGACGGUACCUGCAGAAGAAGCACCGGCUAACUACGUG